rnacentral:lncRNA from 12 species
GUUUAUGUCUUAGAGCAAAUGUCUGGGAAAAGUCCAGGCUUUGUCUUACUGAGUGCACAAACCAACUGGGAUUAACUGACUACUGAUGAACACAAGGUGCGAAUAACUGUGAAUAGCUGGAUACCUCUCUGAGUUGAAAUGGCAUGAGAUAACAAGAUUUAAUUACACUAAAUACAAGUAAUUUUAACCUUGUUAAGAGCCUACCUGAAAGGUUAAUCAUAGCUUUCUGGUCAGACAGAACCUCCAACAGAAACCACCAGCUGUAUUAUUUGAAUAUCUCACCUCAGAAAGCUCAACUUCAUAACAACUGUAUCAAAGAAUUUAGUAGCCUGAAUGAUGCCACAUUUUACAAAACAUGCCCGACAAUGGAAAUACUCUCCAAACAGAGCU